CCUACGGGGGGCAGCAGUGGGGAAUAUUGGACAAUGGGGGGAACCCUGAUCCAGCCAUGCCGCGUGUGUGAAGAAGGCCCUCGGGUUGUAAAGCACUUUCAGUGAGGAAGAACGCUGGUGGUUAAUACCCAUCAGGAAAGACAUCACUCACAGAAGAAGCACCGGCUAACUCCGUGCCAGCAGCCGCGGUAAUACGGAGGGUGCGAGCGUUAAUCGGAAUUACUGGGCGUAAAGCGCGCGUAGGUGGCUUGAUAAGCCGGUUGUGAAAGCCCCGGGCUCAACCUGGGAACGGCAUCCGGAACUGUCAAGCUAGAGUGCAGGGGAGGAAGGUAGAAUUCCCGGGGUAGCGGUGAAAUGCGUAGAGAUCGGGAGGAAUACCAGUGGCGAAGGCGGCCUUCUGGACUGACACUGACACUGAGGUGCGAAAGCGUGGGUAGCAAACAGGAUUAGAUACCCUGGUAGUC
rnacentral:rRNA from 1 species